AUGAACGCUAGCUACAGGCUUAACACAUGCAAGUCGAGGGGCAGCAUGGUCUUAGCUUGCUAAGGCCGAUGGCGACCGGCGCACGGGUGAGUAACACGUAUCCAACCUGCCGUCUACUCUUGGACAGCCUUCUGAAAGGAAGAUUAAUACAAGAUGGCAUCAUGAGUCCGCAUGUUCACAUGAUUAAAGGUAUUCCGGUAGACGAUGGGGAUGCGUUCCAUUAGCUUGUUGCGGGGUAACGGCCCACCAAGGCGACGAUCAGUAGGGGUUCUGAGAGGAAGGCCCCCCACAUUGGAACUGAGACACGGUCCAAACUCCUACGGGAGGCAGCAGUGAGGAAUAUUGGUCAAUGGACGAGAGUCUGAACCAGCCAAGUAGCGUGCAGGAUGACGGCCCUAUGGGUUGUAAACUGCUUUUAUAAGGGAAUAAAGUGGGAGUCGUGACUCUUUUUGCAUGUACCUUAUGAAUAAGGACCGGCUAAUUCCGUG
rnacentral:rRNA from 1 species